GGCACAAUAUUGGAAUUUUAAACAUUUUAAAAAGAUGACUACAGAAUAUAAAUUCAAGACCAUCUUAUUACCAAAGCAGAAAUUUAAAACUUACGCUUGGGAUGUAAACAGCUACAAAGAAUGAUGCUGUCUUCCAAAGAGAAAAUCCUAGGGGUUUUUGGAGAUAGAGACUGCCUCUACUGAAGUUCCACCACCGAACACAUAUCUACUAAGUUGAUGAUUUCUUUGUAACUAUUUUUGGCCUUGGAAUGUAUGCCAUGAAGGUAUAUAAGGUAUAUACCAAAAGUUUCUUCAAUUUGUUUUUUUCUGUGUGAUUACAUUAUUAAUUCAAAACAA